rnacentral:rRNA from 1 species
CCUACGGGGGGCUGCAGUGGGGAAUAUUGGACAAUGGGGGCAACCCUGAUCCAGCCAUGCCGCGUGUGUGAAGAAGGCCCUCGGGUUGUAAAGCACUUUCAGUGAGGAAGAACGCCUGGUGGUUAAUACCCAUCAGGAAAGACAUCACUCACAGAAGAAGCACCGGCUAACUCCGUGCCAGCAGCCGCGGUAAUACGGAGGGUGCGAGCGUUAAUCGGAAUUACUGGGCGUAAAGCGCGCGUAGGUGGCUUGAUAAGCCGGUUGUGAAAGCCCCGGGCUCAACCUGGGAACGGCAUCCGGAACUGUCAAGCUAGAGUGCAGGAGAGGAAGGUAGAAUUCCCGGUGUAGCGGUGAAAUGCGUAGAGAUCGGGAGGAAUACCAGUGGCGAAGGCGGCCUUCUGGACUGACACUGACACCGAGGUGCGAAAGCGUGGGUAGCAAACAGGAUUAGAUACCCGGGUAGUC